rnacentral:rRNA from 1 species
UACGUAGGUGGCGAGCGUUGUCCGGAUUUACUGGGCGUAAAGAGCGCGCAGGCGGUCGUUCAAGUCGCGUGUGAAAGCCCCCGGCUCAACUGGGGAGGGUCACGCGAUACUGAUCGACUCGAAGGCAGGAGAGGGAAGUGGAAUUCCCGGUGUAGCGGUGGAAUGCGUAGAGAUCGGGAAGAACAUCAGUGGCGAAGGCGGUCUGCUGGGCCGUUGCUGACGCUGAGGCGCGACAGCGUGGGGAGCAAACAGG